UACGUAGGGGGCGAGCGUUGUCCGGAUUCAUUGGGCGUAAAGCGCUUUAAGGCGGUUCGCUAAGUCGGGUGUGAAACCUCCAGGCUCAACCUGGAGACGCUACUCGAUACUGGCGUGACUAGAGUCCGGUAGGGGACCACGGAAUUCCUGGUGUAGCGGUGAAAUGCUUAGAUAUCGUCAAGAACACCUAUAGCGAAGGCAGCUUACUAGGCUGUAACUGACGCUGAGGCACGAAAGUGUGGGGAUCAAACAGG
rnacentral:rRNA from 1 species